UAACUUUGCCAUAGCUUUCCUCCCCAGGAGCAAGUGUCUUUUAAUUUCUUGGCUGUAGUCCCCAUCUGCAGUGAUCUUGGAGCCCAGGAAAAUAAAAUCUAUCACUACCUCUAUUUCUUCCGCAUCUAUUUGCCAGGAAUUGAGAAUUAACAAAUAUCAAAUGUCUCAACAAUCACAUCUGCUUGCUGGUGCGUUUUCCGAUUCUGUUUCAAAUGUUGCCAGUUAGCCAUACACUUUAAGUGGCUUGGGACCAAGUUAUUUGAAGGACUCUCUGCCUCUGCAGGAAACCAUCUGAAUCCUCCAAUCAGCCAUAGAAGCUUUGUUCCUGGGCUUGUUGAUAAGGACAGAGCUUAUCAAAGUUGGAUUCAAAACAAGCAACAAUCUUUUGUCUGUGGGGGAACCCUCAUUUGUGGAAUACAGUCCUCCUGGAAAUAAACUCCCUCCCUAUUACUUUCAGACCUUAAA